UACAGAGGUCGCAAGCGUUGUUCGGAUUCACUGGGCGUAAAGGGUGCGUAGGCGGUCGGGCAAGUCUGACGUGAAAUCUCCAAGCUCAACUUGGAAAUGGCGUCGGAUACGAUUCGGCUCGAGGAAUGGAGGGGAGACUGGAAUUCUCGGUGUAGCAGUGAAAUGCGUAGAUAUCGAGAGGAACACCAGUGGCGAAGGCGAGUCUCUGGACAUUUCCUGACGCUGAGGCACGAAAGCCAGGGGAGCAAACGGG
rnacentral:rRNA from 1 species